UUAUUGGAGAGUUUGAUCCUGGCUCAGGACGAACGCUGGCGGCGUGCCUAAUACAUGCAAGUCGAGCGAGUCUCUUCGGAGGCUAGCGGCGGACGGGUGAGUAACACGUAGGCAACCUGCCCGUAAGACUGGGAUAACAUAGGGAAACUUAUGCUAAUACCAGAUAGAGUCUACUCUCGCAUGAGGGAAGACGGAAAGGUGGCGCAAGCUAUCACUUACGGAUGGGCCUGCG
rnacentral:rRNA from 1 species